GAUGAACGCUGGCGGCGUGCCUAAUACAUGCAAGUCGAGCGAACAGACGAGGAGCUUGCUCCUCUGACGUUAGCGGCGGACGGGUGAGUAACACGUGGAUAACCUACCUAUAAGACUGGGAUAACUUCGGGAAACCGGAGCUAAUACCGGAUAAUAUAUUGAACCGCAUGGUUCAAUAGUGAAAGACGGUUUUGCUGUCACUUAUAGAUGGAUCCGCGCCGCAUUAGCUAGUUGGUAAGGUAACGGCUUACCAAGGCAACGAUGCGUAGCCGACCUGAGAGGGUGAUCGGCCACACUGGAACUGAGACACGGUCCAGACUCCUACGGGAGGCAGCAGUAGGGAAUCUUCCGCAAUGGGCGAAAGCUUGACGGAGCAGCGCCGCGUGAGUGAUGAAGGUCUUCGGAUCGUAAAACUCUGUUAUUAGGGAAGAACAAAUGUGUAAGUAACUAUGCACGUCUUGACGGCACCUAAUCAGAAAGCCACGGCUAACUACGUG
rnacentral:rRNA from 1 species